CAGAUGUUCCCAGGACGCGAGCUAAGUCUGCCCGGCCGGCGCGCGCCGCUUCCGCUUUGGUGGGAAGGACCUCCCUUCCCCCUUAUAGAAACACUUUCUCCAGGCCGGGCCGGGCUUGGUAAACCUCAGCCGUGCCUGGGUAGAGGACGCCGGGCUGGGCCGAGCGGGGGUGGAAUGAGGGCGUCUAGAACAGAGAAAACUAAGAUGGGGUCGUCCCCCCAGUAAUCUGGAAAACAGUUACAGCAACAGGCUCCUCUCAUCAGACGGCAGUGCUGGUCGUUUCCUCACUGGUUUGCGGGGAAGGCUGGGCAGAAAAAGGAUGCAACCUUGUUCUCAACCACUUGCUAUCUCGUGAUUCAGGGAUUGGAUGAGUCUCUAUGGUUUGUUUUGCCCUGAAGAGCAGAAGGCUUCUGUCCCAACUGGUGUUGCCAAAGCAACAUAUUAAUUCCAUGCCAUGAUCCUGGGUCAAGAUCUGCACAAUCUGAUUGGGCAUGUCACCUCGGAUGGCAAGGGAGUGGAAGUGGUCAAAAUCAUGGAGUCCCAGCUUUCGGAGACGCCUUGCAGCUGCCCGGUGAAGAAAAUGCACAAUGGAAACCACCCAGAUGUCCAGUGAUAGUGGCAUGGACAAAUAAAUGUGGUAUAAUCAUGAAGAUAGAAUACUAAAUAGCAGUUAAAAAAUGAAGGCACCCAGCUUGGUGCACAACAUGGAUGAUUCUCACAAAUACAUAAUGUUGAGAAAAAAAGCAAGCCAUAACAGAAAAUAUAUGAAAAGCAUCCAUUUACAUGAAGCUCAAAAAUGGGUGAAAUUAAAGUACAUCAUUCAGGGAAGAAAAACAGUACACUAUAAAGAAAAGCAAGGAAACAACAGAAGGCUAGUUGUUACCUCUGGGUAGAGAUAGAGGUUUAUGAACAGGAAAAGGCAUAUAGGGGAAGUUGUGGGGUGCUGAAAAUGUUUAUUAUUUAUUUAUUUAUUUAUUUUUGAGACAGGAUCUUACUCUGUUUCCCAGGCUGGAGUACAGUGGUGUGAUCACUGCAACCUUGACUUCCCAGGCUCCAGAGAUCCUCCUACUUCAGCCUUAUGAGUAGCUGGAACCACAGGUGCACACCACCAUGCCCAGCUAAUUUUUGUAUUUUUGGUAGGGAUGAGAUUUUGCCAUGUUGCCCAGGCUGAUCUCAAACUCCCGAGCUCAAGCAAUCCACCAGCGUCAGUCUCUGAAAAUGCUGGGAUUACAGCGUCAGCCACUGCACCCAGCAGUUUUUUGGGUUUUUUGUUGUUGUUUUAUUUGAGACAGGGUCUCACUUCGUCACCCAGGCUGGGGUAUGUGGCACAAUCAAGGCUCACUGCAGCCUCGACCUCCUGGGUUCAAGCGAUCCUCCUCCCUCAGCUCUCUAAGUAGCUGGGACUACAGAUGCCCACCACCACACCUGGCUAAUUUUUUUUAGAGAUGGGGUUUUGCCAUGUUGCCCAGGCUGGGAAAGGAGUUUUUAAAAUUGAAAAAAAAAAGCACCCAUAAAUUAUGGUACAUCUAUCCAAUGAAACAUUAGGAAGCUGCUAAAAAAAGAAUGUGGUGAUAUAAAUAAUCUCAGA
rnacentral:lncRNA from 1 species